rnacentral:lncRNA from 1 species
UUAGAAUGGGGGAAUUUGGUUUAGUGAAGGUUGGGGUAUUCGGAUUCGAGGUUCGUCUUGUUGUGUUUGAUUAAAUUGAGGUUGGAGUAUUUGAGAGGGAUUUUAAUUUUGUGGAUAUGUAGUAUCUUGAGGAGUGCAAUCAUAUGUUUGUAUUGGUGGAUUUAUCAUUUGGUUAUGGUUUUCUGAGGAAAUAUGUACAGAAAGAUUUGGUGCAUGUCCACUAGUCGAAGCAUUAUAG